rnacentral:rRNA from 1 species
CGAUUUCGAUUUAUCGGGAUAGUGGCGAACGGGUGAGUAACGCGUAAGUAACCUGCCCUCAAGUAGGGGAUAACUCUGAGAAAUUGGAGCUAAUACCUUAUGUGGUAAUGGAGCUAGUGCUUCAUCAUUAAAGCCUUAGGGUGCUUGAGGAUGGGCUUGCGUCCGAUUAGCUAGUUGGUAGGGUAAUGGCUUACCAAGGCUAUGAUCGGUAGCUGGUUUGAGAGGACGAUCAGCCACACUGGGAUUGAGAUACGGCCCAGACUCCUACGGGAGGCAGCAGCAAGGAAUAUUGUGCAAUGGGCGAAAGCCUGACACAGCGACGCCGCGUGGGGGAUGACGGCUUUCGAGUUGUAAACCCCUUUUCUCAGGGAAGAAUAAUGACGGUACCUGAGGAAUAAGUCACGGCUAACUACGUGCCAGCAGCCGCGGUAAUACGUAGGUGGCGAGCGUUAUCCGGAUUUACUGGGUGUAAAGAGGGUGCAGGCGGCUUUUCAAGUCGAAUAUAAAAUCUCCCGGCUUAACUGGGAGGGACUAUUCGAUACUGUUAGGCUAGAGGGCAGCAGAGGGAGGUGGAAUUCCCGGUGUAGUGGUGAAAUGCGUAGAUAUCGGGAGGAACACCAGUGGCGAAGGCGGCCUCCUGGGCUGUUGCUGACGCUGAGGCCCGAAGGCGUGGGGAGCAAACAGGAUUAGAUACCCUGGUAGUCCACGCUAUAAACUAUGGACACUAGGUAUAGGGAGUAUCGACCC